GAAAAUAUCAGUGCAUUUAUAAAAUAGAAUGAAUUGUCGUCACACCAUGAUGGAGCAAAAUGAUCACAUAAUAGAAUCCAAUUAGGUUGACGUUUCACCAUCACUCUGUCGUACAAAGUGACAUACAUGACUGAUGGAUCAGUUAACUGUUAAAGUUUUUGCAAGCGUGAACACUACUAAAUAAUUUAAACAUUGUUGGUGCCUAAUGCAUGGAAUAUAACAUACUUUCCCCCCUCUUGUCAUUUUUCGUGGAACGAAGAACUAAUUUACUCCUUUGGUCCACAAAUGUAAGCAUUUUUAGUAUUUAAAAUUUGUCUACAAAUGUAAGCACUUAUACACAUAAUCCUCCCCUCUCUCAUCAGUGAUUUAAUCUUUGUUAUUGUUAGCUGAAAAGGCAGGCGUUAAUUGCAUCUCUGUAAUCUUAACAAUAGAUUGUGGGAGUCCUAAAAUCAUUUUUAUUCCUCUAUAUUCUGCAC
rnacentral:lncRNA from 1 species